UGCCAGCCGCCGCGGUAAGACGAAGGUGGCGAGCGCUAUUCGGAUUUACUGGGCAUAAAGCGCGCGUAGGCGGCUAGGUCAGUCGGAGGUGAAAGCCCGCAGCUCAACUGCGGAAUUGCCCCCGAUACUGCCUGGCUUGAGUGCAGGAGGGGUGACUGGAACUCCAGGUGUAGCGGUGAAAUUCGUAGAUAUUCGGAAGAACACCAGUGGCGAAGGCGGCUUUCUGGACCGAUACUGACGCUGAGACGCGAAAGCGUGGGGAGCAAACAGGAUUAGAUA
rnacentral:rRNA from 1 species